CUAAAGUAUUUUACCUAAAGAGCGCGAGCGAGGUCUUACCAAAGGAAACCCCUCCCCUAUAUGUUUCCCCAGGAAUGUGUAAGCCACCUGAAGGUAUCUCUACUGCCCUACCUUCACCGGUCUUACCCACAGCAAUCGCCUUAAAUGGAACACUCACUCAAGAUCUUAUGACCACUGAGGGAGCAACAAAGGCAGAUGGGAUCUCGAAGACAGGACCUCACUGACCACCAAUGAUGUUCCUAUCACAAAAUAUGAGGAAGGAGACAACCAGCUAUACCUCACUGGCUUUGGCUCCUCCAAGACAGCCCGCGGAAAGAGGUAUACUGGGCCCACCGGCCUCAGCUGCACCCUUCCAAGCCCUUUCCUGCUUCUAAAGCUCACCAAUAGCGUCCCUGGACCACAGCUCCUCAGUCUUUUCCUCGGUUCCAAAUGACUCCAUCCACACCAAACACCAACAGUGGGGACGAAGGCUCUGAGAGGAGCUCUUUGCCACCAGUAAAUAGUUAAAAUCUGAGGACUCUGGAGAGAGAAUAAAUGCCAGAGCCCAGAGAGUGGAGAAGAGAAAGAACAAGGCUGCUCCUGCUCCCUCCUUUCUGUUCCUGGUCUCUGUUGUGAGACAAGAAGUUGAAGAUCUCCUGAAAUGAUUGGACUGGCUCCAAGGAACCUGACGACCCUAACCAGCAGGAAGCAGCUAUGAAAACUGCGACCCCUCUUCCACUAACCCUUUCUCUCUCCUACCUGGUAUUGGGGUACUGGAAGGGUUGGGGUAGGGAGAAAAAGAUGAAA